GAUGAACGCUGGCGGCGUGCCUAAUACAUGCAAGUCGAGCGAACAGAUAAGGAGCUUGCUCCUUUGACGUUAGCGGCGGACGGGUGAGUAACACGUGGGUAACCAACCUAUAAGACUGGGAUAACUUCGGGAAACCGGAGCUAAUACCGGAUAACAUUUGGAACCGCAUGGUUCUAAAGUGAAAGAUGGUUUUGCUAUCACUUAUAGAUGGACCCGCGCCGUAUUAGCUAGUUGGUAAGGUAACGGCUUACCAAGGCAACGAUACGUAGCCGACCUGAGAGGGUGAUCGGCCACACUGGAACUGAGACACGGUCCAGACUCCUACGGGAGGCAGCAGUAGGGAAUCUUCCGCAAUGGGCGAAAGCCUGACGGAGCAACGCCGCGUGAGUGAUGAAGGGUUUCGGCUCGUAAAACUCUGUUAUUAGGGAAGAACAAACGUGUAAGUAACUGUGCACGUCUUGACGGUACCUAAUCAGAAAGCCACGGCUAACUACGUG
rnacentral:rRNA from 1 species